UACGUAGGGUCCGAGCGUUGUCCGGAAUUAUUGGGCGUAAAGGGCUCGUAGGCGGUUGGUCACGUCGGGAGUGAAAACUCAGGGCUCAACCCUGAGCGUGCUUCCGAUACGGGCCGACUAGAGGUAUGCAGGGGAGAACGGAAUUCCUGGUGUAGCGGUGGAAUGCGCAGAUAUCAGGAGGAACACCGGUGGCGAAGGCGGUUCUCUGGGCAUUACCUGCCGCUGAGGCGCGAAAGUCAGGGGAGCGAACGGG
rnacentral:rRNA from 1 species